CUUCACCGAACCCAGCCACAACGGUUCGGCUCCGGCACGCUCACGCCCGUACGUCGCAAGGAGCGCCUGCGCCUC
rnacentral:antisense_RNA from 1 species